CCUACGGGAGGCAGCAGUGGGGAAUAUUGCACAAUGGGGGAAACCCUGAUGCAGCAACGCCGCGUGAGUGAAGGAGUAUUUCGGUAUGUAAAGCUCUGUCAGUAGGGAAGAAGAAAGGCGGUACCUAAUUAAGACGCCCCGGCGAACCACGUGCAAGCAGCCACGGUAAUACGUAGGGGGCAAGCGUUAUCCGGAUUUACUGGGUGGAAAGGGAGCGUAGACGGCUGGGCAAGUCUGAGGUGAAAGCCCGUGGCUCAACCGCGGAACUGCUUUGGAAACUGUAUGGCUUGAGUACUGGAGAGGCAGGUGGAAUUCCAAGUGUAGCGGUGAAAUGCGUAGAUAUUAGGAGGAACACCAGUGGCGAAGGCGGCCUGCUGGACAGAAACUGACGUUGAGGCUCGAAAGCGUGGGGAGCAAACAGGAUUAGAUACCCUGGUAGUC
rnacentral:rRNA from 1 species